rnacentral:rRNA from 1 species
GAUGAACGCUGGCGGCGUGCCUAAUACAUGCAAGUCGAGCGAACAGACGAGGAGCUUGCUCCUCUGACGUUAGAGGCGGACGGGUGAGUAACACGUGGAUAACCUAGCUAUAAGACUGGGAUAACUUCGGGAAACCGGAGCUAAUACCGGAUAAUAUAUUGAACCGCAUGGUUCAAUAGUGAAAGACGGUUUUGCUGUCACUUAUAGAUGGAUCCGCGCCGCAUUAGCUAGUUGGUAAGGAAACGGCUUACCAAGGCAACGAUGAGUAGCCGACCUGAGAGGGUGAUCGGCCACACGGGAACUAAGACACGGCCAAGACUCCAACGGGAGGCGGCAGUAGGGAAUCUUCCGCAAAGGGCGAAAGCCUGACGGAGAAACGCCGCGUGAGUGAUGAAGGUCUUCGGAUCUUAAAACUCUGUUAUUAGGGAAGAACAAAUGUGUAGGUAACUAUGCACGUCUUGACGGUACCUAAUCAGAAAGCCACGGCUAACUACGUG